UACGUAGGUGGCGAGCGUUGUCCGGAUUUACUGGGCGUAAAGAGCGCGCAGGCGGUCGUACAAGUCGCGUGUGAAAGCCCCGGCUCAACUGGGGAGGGUCACGCGAUACUGUUCGACUCGAAGGCAGGAGAGGGUAGUGGAAUUCCCGGUGUAGUGGUGAAAUGCGUAGAUAUCUGGAGGAAUACCGGUGGCGAAGGCGGCAUCCUGGACCGACAUUGACGCUGAACGGCGAAAGCUAGGGAGCAAACGGG
rnacentral:rRNA from 1 species